UACGUAGGGUGCGAGCGUUGUCCGGAAUUACUGGGCGUAAAGAGCUCGUAGGUGGUUUGUCGCGUUGUUCGUGAAAUCUCACGGCUUAACUGUGAGCGUGCGGGCGAUACGGGCAGACUAGAGUACUGCAGGGGAGACUGGAAUUCCUGGUGUAGCGGUGGAAUGCGCAGAUAUCAGGAGGAACACCGGUGGCGAAGGCGGGUCUCUGGGCAGUAACUGACACUGAGGAGCGAAAGCGUGGGGAGCGAACAGG
rnacentral:rRNA from 1 species